CCUACGGGAGGCAGCAGUGGGGAAUAUUGCACAAUGGGGGAAACCCUGAUGCAGCGACGCCGCGUGAGUGAAGAAGUAUCUCGGUACGUAAAGCUCUAUCAGCAGGGAAGAUAAUGACGGUACCUGACCAAGACGCCCCUGCUAACUACGUGCCAGCAGCCGCGGUAAGACGUAGGGGGCAAGCGUUAUCCGGAUUUACGGGGUGUAAAGGGAGCGUAGACGGCAGGACAAGUCUUGGGUGAAAUCCCGGGGCUUAACCCCGGAACUGCAUUGGAAAAUGUGCGGCUGGAGUGCAGGAGGGGGAAGCGGAAGUCCUGGUGUAGCGGUGAAAUGCGUAGAUAUUAGGAGGAACACCGGUGGCGAAGGCGGCUUACUGGACUGUAACUGACGUUGAGGCUCGAAAGCGUGGGGAGCAAACAGGAUUAGAUACCCGAGUAGUC
rnacentral:rRNA from 1 species